rnacentral:rRNA from 1 species
GACGGGUGAGUAAUGCCUGGGGAUCUGCCCAGUCGAGGGGGAUAACUACUGGAAACGGUAGCUAAUACCGCAUACGCCCUACGGGGGAAAGCAGGGGACCUUCGGGCCUUGCGCGAUUGGAUGAACCCAGGUGGGAUUAGCUAGUUGGUGAGGUAAUGGCUCACCAAGGCGACGAUCCCUAGCUGGUCUGAGAGGAUGAUCAGCCACACUGGAACUGAGACACGGUCCAGACUCCUACGGGAGGCAGCAGUGGGGAAUAUUGCACAAUGGGGGAAACCCUGAUGCAGCCAUGCCGCGUGUGUGAAGAAGGCCUUCGGGUUGUAAAGCACUUUCAGCGAGGAGGAAAGGUUGGUAGCUAAUAACUGCCAGCUAUGACGUUACUCGCAGAAGAAGCACCGGCUAACUC